rnacentral:tRNA from 1 species
GGUGUCAUCUUCUAAUGGUCAGGAAACGAGGUUUUCAACCUCGCAAUCUGAGUUCGAUUCUCAGUGACAUCACCA